rnacentral:rRNA from 1 species
CAGCCGCCACGGGAAUACGGAGGGGGCUAGCGUUGUUCGGAAUUACUGGGCGUAAAGCGCACGUAGGCGGUUUGGUAAGUUAGAGGUGAAAGCCUGGAGCUCAACUCCAGAAUUGCCUUUAAGACUGCCGAGCUAGCAGGUGAGAGAGGUAAGUGGAAUUCCGAGUGUAGAGGUGAAAUUCGUAGAUAUUCGGAAGAACACCAGUGGCGAAGGCGGCUUAUUGGCUCAUACUGGACGCUGAGGUGCGAAAGCGUGGGGAGCAAACAGGAUUAGAUACCCCUGUAGUCCCUGUCUCUUAUAC